rfam:Triticum aestivum genome assembly, contig: Triticum_aestivum_CS42_TGACv1_scaffold_570344_7AS
UAUAUACAACCUCCGUCACAAAUUACUUGUCUUAGAUUUAUCUAGAUAUGGAUGUAUCUAAUGCUAAAACAUGUCUAGAUGCAUCAGUGUCUACAAGAAUCUAAGACAACUAAUUUGGGAUGGAGGGAGUAAUAU